ACUCAAAUGAAUUGACGGGGACCCGCACAAGCAGCGGAGCAUGUGGUUUAAUUCGAAGCAACGCGAAGAACCUUACCAAGACUUGACAUUGCGUGACAGGUAUAGAAAUAUACCCUCCUUCGGGCACGCGGACAGGUGGUGCAUGGUUGUCGUCAGCUCGUGUCGUGAGAUGUUCGGUUAAGUCCGGCAACGAGCGCAACCCUUAUGAUAUGUUGCCAAUAUUAAGUUAGGAACUCAUAUCAGACUGCCGUGGAUAACACGGAGGAAGGUGGGGAUGACGUCAAAUCAUCAUGCCCCUUACGUCUUGGGCUACACACGUGCUACAAUGGGCGCUACAAAGAGCAGCAAAACUGCAAAGUCGAGCGAAUCUCAAAAAAGCGUUCUCAGUUCGGAUUGAGGGCUGAAACCCGCCCUCAUGAAGUCGGAGUUGCUAGUAAUCCCAAAUCAGAACGUUGGGGUGAAUGCGUUCCCGGGUCUUGCACACACCGCCCGU
rnacentral:rRNA from 1 species